AUCACUUCACUUGGCCAGUUCAAAGUUCGUGUUCACGUCUCGUUUAUUAGUCAAACACCACAACUAUUUGUCUUCUCUUUGCGAGAGUGCGGCCCACCACACCAGAGAGAGCUUCAAAUACCACAGUUCAUCAUCUUCUCUCAUCAAACACCACAGCUAUUCCUCUUCUCUUCUUCUCUUGUACAACGUUGAUUUUUGUUGUUAUUCUCUUCGCCAACAUUCAACAAUGCUGGUCCUCUUGUCUUCGUCGACGUUGAACGCGUUCAUGAGCACAUUCAGCAGCGGCUACAGCUCACGUAGUAGAGAGUGUAGAAGGUAUCAAUUUGCUAUUGUCUGAUCGAGUGUGUACUGAUUCGUGGAUGUUCUAUUCAUUUUGUGCAUAUGACAAUGAAAGUGCAAGUCUCCCUGUGCCGUCCUCAAAGUUCAUCCGAGCAAGAGAAGAUUCACCUGCAACCGGAUACAAGAGCCCUUCAACAGGUUUGCGGAAUACAGUUUGGUCCCAGUAAGAACAGAAACGAUACCCUUACUCUUUCACACCUGCCACGUCAACCCUUCUAUUAGUACAAAAUCAUGGACGUACGCCUAUGGGUCCCUAAGUGAUGGGUUUCCACUUCUUCCUCGCAUAAAUCUGGUUUGGAAUAUCCAAACUCUUCUAAUGGGAAGCGCAAAAGAUGAAGAUGGAGUUAUAAGACAUAUGGCUGAAAGGAUGAUGGUAAGAUUUGAUAAAUAUUGGGAGGAAUAUAGUGCAGUCCUUGCAUUCGUGUUAUUUUAGACCCAAGUGUGAAGUUGGAAACAUUAGGAUAUUGUUAUAAACCAAUUGAUCCCCUUUGUUGGGAAGCAAAGUUAGAGAAGUUGAAGGACAAAUUGUACAAGCUUUUCUCUCAAUAUUUUGCAAAGAGUUCAACUUCAAAUGAUGUAAAGCGCAGUAAUAUCUCAUCAUCUUCUGCUUCCACCAAACGCCCACAUUUUGAUCUGACAAAGAUGGAAGAUUGGAGGGGACAUCGACCUUGGGUGCUUCUAAUAUUCCGGACAUGGGACAACAUGGUGAAUGAGUUUAUUGUUGGUGGAUCUCAAUUGGAUGAAUUAUAGUUGUAAAUUUGAACCUUACUAUCUGGCUUUGGACUUCUACAUGUGAUUUGGUGUAUUAACUUUGAACCUUAUCUUUUUUUUGGUGAUAUAACUUUGAACCUUAUUUGUGCUUUGGACUUGUAAGUUAUGGGAUGAAUUCUGUUGGAAUUACAUUACAGGGGAGAACUGUUGUUCUGAGAAAUGCAAUACUUGUUCAGAUGCUUUCUGAGAAUUGGUUCUGAGAAUUAUGUUGGAAUUGCAUGAGAA